UACAGAGGUCCCAAGCGUUGUUCGGAUUCACUGGGCGUAAAGGGUGCGUAGGUGGUCGGGUAAGUCUGAUGUGAAAUCUCGGAGCUCAACUCCGAAACUGCAUUGGAUACUAUUCGGCUUGAGAGUUGGAGGGGGGACUGGAAUUCUCGGUGUAGCAGUGAAAUGCGUAGAUAUCGAGAGGAACACCAGUGGCGAAGGCGAGUCCCUGGACGACUUCUGACACUGAGGCACGAAAGCUAGGGGAGCAAACAGG
rnacentral:rRNA from 1 species